UGUUUUCCAUGCUAGAGCAGUCUUUUGGAAGCAGGGCCAGGGGUGCACCGGCCUGGUCCCGGCCUCUGCUGCCCACGCCUGCCCACCUCCAGGUGCACAGGGGUGGGGGUGGGGGAACCAUGCUCUUGAGCGGGCACUUCCUGGCCCAGCCUGCUACAAUGUUCUCACUUCCAUGAGAAACAAGAUGGUCCCCUUUGGUCUUCAGACAAGGGAAGGGGCGCUGCCUUCUAACAAGCUUUGUGCUGGGGGCUCAUUGCAUACAUGGUCACGUUCCAUGCCCACGCCCAUCGUGACAGACUCAUCCUGUCCCGCUGCUCCCAGCUUUUACUUCAUGGUUGGUUGAAGUCAGCUCUGGCACCGUCACUGCAGGUUUUAAUACUGUAAUGACACUGUUGGAAGCCAUCCCUGGGCCUGCAGAUGCAAUUUCAGUCCCCUCAGUGCUUGAAAUGACAGGGCAUUCUACAGGAGUGGGGGCUAUUCCUCUGAGCCUUCAUCCAGUGGCUGAUGGAAGCAGAGGCAGAAAACCACAGCGAAACACUGAAGUGGACUCCUAGAACCCAGUUGCAGAGAGGAAGGAGUGAUGAGCAAAGGGGUCAAGACUUGGCAGGUGAAACCCACAGAGACUGCUGACCUGAAAAAAGGGGAGCUCUUGGACCCCAGAUUGAUG